rnacentral:lncRNA from 1 species
CAGACAAGUACGCAGUUGCUAGUCACAACUUUCGCCUCCAAGCCAAGAAAUUAUCCAGAAACUUUAGCCUACAGAUACUUGCCUUUGACUUUCUCAGCUGAGACGAGCGAAGACGAGAGAUAGAUAGUGCGACUGGCAAACGGAUGGAACUAGAAGAUACCAUCCUCAGUGAGGUAAUCCAGUCAGAAAAAGACAAACAUGAGCCUUCAUCCAGUAGCUGAUGGAAGCAGAAGCAGACACCCACAGCUAAACACUGAACUGAACUGGAAUCCAGUUGCAGAGAGGGAGGAGUGAUGAGCAAAGUGGUCAAGACCAAACUGGAGAAACCCACAGAAACAGCUGACCUGAACAAGGGGUUGCUCAUGGACCCCAGACUGAUAGCUGAGAAACCAGAAUAGGACUGUUCCAGACCCCUUGAACAUGAGUGUCAGUGAGGAGGCCUUGGAAAUCUAUGGGGCCUCUUGUAGUAUAUCAGUAUGUAUUCCUAGCAUACAAAUGGACUUUGGGAGCCCAAUCCACAUAGAGGGAUAUUCUCUCAGCCUAGACACACGGGAGAGAGCCUAGGCCCUGCUCCAAAUGAUAUGACAGAGUCUUAAGAUCCCCCAUGGAAGGCCUCACCCUCCCUGGGGAGCAGAAAGAGGAUGGGAUAGGGAGUUUGUGGGAGGCAGAGGAGGUGGGGAGGUAGAGGGAACUGGGAUUGACAUGUAAAACAAUCUUGUUUCUAAUUUAAAUAAAAA